ACACGUGAAGGGAGGUGGUCCAGACUUUGAGUAGUUAUUGGACUGGUGAGGUGGCUGUCAGCUAGCCGCUGUCCUUCUGGACUCCGACUCGUCGAGACCGAUUGACGUCGGCCCGGCGAAUUCAAGGCAGCUACCCGACCCCUGGGGUGCCGGCUUAGUCCGACCGGCCCGCGCAGAGCGCGGCACCGCCCCAGGGGUCGCUGCAU
rnacentral:sRNA from 1 species